rnacentral:misc_RNA from 1 species
AUUCCUCUUUCUUAUCUAUUUAUAUUUUUCUUGUAGCGUUCAUCGAUUGCUUGGAAAGGCUUUGUUUCCGAUGACAAAAAUCGGUACUCCGUUGGUGUCUACUCUACAAAGAAUAUCGAUCGUGUCUAGGGAUGAAAGUCUGGGAAGCAUUUCCCAAGUGUCAUACUCUUUCGGCUAUGUUAGAAAGUCAAUUUGGUAAGCCUAAAGAGGAGGAUGUCCGACAACGACUGUUGAAAUUAAUUCAGAACUCAUAGCGGGGUUCCCCAAGGUGCCGCCGAGACUGAAACGAUUCAUUUUGCAUCAUUUUUUUUUCGGACAACAAUCAAACGAUUAACUGUCUUACUCAGUUCCCUGACGUUGCUCUAUUGAAGAGAUGGAUCGUCGCCGUGAGGCUGGUAUACGCAGCAUUCAUCCAUCUUUUGGAAAGGCUUUGUUUCUGAUGACAAAAAUCGGUACUCCGUUGGUGUCUAUUCUACAAAGAAUAUCGACCGUGUCUAGGGUGAAAGUCUUGGAGGCAUUUCACAAGUGUCAUACUCUUUCAGCUGUGUCAAAAAGUCAAUUUGGAAAGCACUUACCACGACAGCUAUGACAGCGUAACCACAUAACACGAUCACCGGGAGGAACAGAGAAUGAACGCGAGCACCAAAAGCACCCUGGGUAACUUUAGAGGGGUGUGCAGAAAAUGGCGGUGCAAAUUUGAGAUAUAGCGCUAGCUAGAAAGUUUAUGAACGAAGAGCACGCGAAAAAGCCAGGUGAACUUACAUGUUUAACAUUCCACUCCACAAAUCUGAAAAGAGUUACAAGUUUAUUUUGCAAGCAAUCUGCUAUCAGAGGAAUGGAAGAAGUACAUCGAAAUGCUUGGCUGACCGAGACAAAUGGAAUUCCACAAGACUUGUCGUACAGGUAUACAGGUAUACAGGAUUGUGAAACAGAGAUGUUGGGGUCAAAUGCAGGAGCUACAAGCCAUAGACUUAGAGACAUGAACAGUGGAUUGCAAGUUAUGGAAGAAAGCAUAAAAAUUCGAGAUUAUGUUCUUCAAAUGACACGAGAGUAGUAAAUGAAAAAAAAGGGGAGGAAACUUAAAACGAAACUGUACAGACCUUGAUAAUGACGGUUAUGAUUAUUAUUGUUUUUCAUCCUUGAAAAUUAGCCUUGUGGCCGCUUUUGAGGAAACAUUAUGUUGUUUUUUGAACCGUUUUGUUUAGACUAGAAAUGCUAAUAUAUACUGGAAAAUUAUUCAUGAAGAGGUCUCCAGGCACUGAUUUAUCAACAGAAACGGCUUAAGUAUGGUUAUAAAGCUGAAAAUAAGACUAAAUGACACAAAAAUUACUUUAACUAAUCCUCUUUAUGUGUUUUUUCUGAUGUGAUGAGAGAUUAACAUAAACUUGCAAGUUAUGACGGAAAGCUGGAAAUUCGAGAUAAUGCACUUGAAAUGAUAAGAGAUAUCUAGAUUUUAGAAAGAAAAUAACAAGUUCGAUGAAUUAGACAACCCACACAAAAUUUCAAAAUUUCUGUUAAAGAGGGUAUCCAACUACACUGAAGAAGUUGAUUUUUCAGCUUAAAGUUUCUCAAAGGGGGUUGAAGAGGGAAGAAGGAACCUUUGGACAAUAUCAUCGAAAGAUUAGCAAUGUAUAAGUGGAUUCACCAAAAGGUUUCAGUUUUAAUUGUAUUUUACUUGAUAAAUUGGAUGACGAUGAUGAAAAGGCUAUUGUCUCAUACAGCUGAGUGUAGUUUUAGCUACUCAUUCAAUGGGGAAUAAAAUUCACAAAUGGUAAACUCAUAUUGAUAUUCUCUUGGUCUUUCAAGGUUAAGCUUUCUUCAAAUUCUGUGUUUUUUCUUCCACUUCAUUAGAAGUUCUAAAAGAAGAGUCAAUAAUCGCUUUUUCUCAGGCUGCGAUAUAAGCUG